rnacentral:rRNA from 1 species
UGGGGAAUAUUGCGCAAUGGGGGAAACCCGUGACGCAGCAACGCCGCGUGAUCGAAGAAGGUCUUCGGAUUGUAAAGAUCUUUUAUCAGGGACGAAGAAAGUGACGGUACCUGAUGAAUAAGCUCCGGCUAACUACGUGCCAGCAGCCGCGGUAAUACGUAUGGUGCAAGCGUUAUCCGGAUUUACUGGGUGUAAAGGGAGCGCAGGCGGUGCGGCAAGUCUGAUGUGAAAGCCCGGGGCUCAACCCCGGUACUGCAUUGGAAACUGUCGUACUAGAGUGUCGGAGGGGUAAGUGGAAUUCCUAGUGUAGCGGUGAAAUGCGUAGAUAUUAGGAGGAACACCAGUGGCGAAGGCGGCUUACUGGACGAUAA